rnacentral:rRNA from 1 species
UACGGAGGAUGCAAGCGUUAUCCGGAAUGAUUGGGCGUAAAGCGUCCGCAGGUGGCUGUGUAAGUCUGCUGUUAAAGAGUCUAGCUCAACUAGAUAAAGGCAGUGGAAACUACACGGCUAGAGUGCGUUCGGGGCAGAGGGAAUUCCUGGUGUAGCGGUGAAAUGCGUAGAGAUCAGGAAGAACACCGGUGGCGAAGGCGCUCUGCUAGGCCGCAACUGACACUGAGGGACGAAAGCUAGGGGAGCGAAUGGG